UACAGAGGUGGCAAGCGUUGUUCGGAAUUACUGGGCGUAAAGGGCGCGCAGGCGGUCCUCUAAGUCUUGUGUGAAAUCCCUCGGCUCAACUGAGGAACUGCACGGGAUACUGGAAGACUUGAGUUCGGGAGAGGGAAGCGGAAUUCCGGGUGUAGCGGUGAAAUGCGUAGAUAUCCGGAGGAACACCGGUGGCGAAGGCGGCUUCCUGGACCGAUUACUGACGCUGAGGCGCGAAAGCUAGGGGAGCAAACAGG
rnacentral:rRNA from 1 species